UGCAGGGCCUGACCCUGCUUGCUGCAGUCUGGCUGCCCAGGGGUGCCAGGAGGUCAAAAUCCAGGGAAAAUCCCACCACAGGGGAGUGAGGCUCAGCGCAGCACAAGGAAAACAAGCAGCACGACUCACACUGAUGGAAACUGCCCUUAAAACUUGCAGCACGAGUAUUUAGAGCUCAAUCUGAGCCCCCGUUCCCUCUGUACAAAGAGGUUUAUUGUUGGACUGCAGUGCCCAGGGAGGCCGUUUCUGUACUCAGGUGCUGUAGGUACCCCCGAUGCAUCCAAACACCACUUUGGAAAUGGUCUCUCACCAGCCACUCAGGCUGCUCAGCACCUCUUCCUAGUACUAACAGCUGUCAACUGAGGAUGUGAAGAAAUGUUUAGAGUUCAUCCUUUGGCGUGCCUUGAUGAGACGGCCAUAAAGCAAAUCACCCUGGGAUAAAACAUCAAAAGAGGGCAGUCAGUCUGUCAAAUACCGUAGCAAUGUGGAAGAAGUGGAGGCAGAGCUGUAUCAUCAUCUCCAGCAAACCCAUGUCUGAACAGGAGCGAUGCAGACAGGUGAGCCCCAACUCUGUCAUGGGCUGGGAGGAACAGUUCAAGAUACACAGUCUCUUUUGGGGAACUCGUUAUUUAGUUUUAUGACCAUGGAAGAAACCAAGAUGUAUAAACUAUAGGAUCAUGACUCCGUAUAUAGGUAUUCAUGACUAUGAAGAUACACACAGAAGACUCCCAUGGCCAUGUCCAAAACCUGGCGAGAGCAGGGGCGUUCUGACAGCCUUACAAAUCAGUGCAAUGGAAGAAAUACCAAGUUUUUCAUAACAAGCCAGAGUAAGCCCUGCUAGUACAAAGAUACCGAAGGGAUCCUGGACGGUGUCAGCAUGGGUUGAGCGUUUAUUAGCCCUACAUUGGUGCAGACCAGAGCAGCCCCAAGCAGAGCCGCCCGGCCCUCUGCACCCCCUCCCUGGCGCCAUGGGGUUUGCCCAGGCACAUAUCCUUGGGCACUGCCCAGAAGUGUCCAAACCACUUCAGAAGCCAAACUGGGCUCAGGAUGCCCCAGCAAUGUCCCCUCUCAGGACCGAAACACACCCUCUGCUAAACCACCUCCGGGGUCCCUGCAGCUCUGGCACGACUCAUUUGCAACCCAACCAGUGCAUGUUGACUGUUGCUAAUUCCCUGUACAUAUCUACCCAAGGACAAGCCCAGCUCUGCGUGUGUCUGUGUGUGUGUAUCAGAUUUCAGGGGGGUGGCAUUUCUACACCCCCUCCCUAGCACAGAUUUGGAAGGUGUUGGGCAGGCAGCCAUGCAAGUGCCCAGGAACAGGCAGGACGCGAGUGCUAAACCAGCCUUGCACACCUGCAAAGACAAAUAAAUUCUUUAUUUUAACAUCAGACAGUAGACCAUAAAACGAAGCUAUAAGAGCAUAUCACUGCACAUGAAGGGAAAUUCAUUCUGCUGCUAAUGCCCAUAACUUCCCUACUGAGAGUAAUGGAUAUCAACAGGAGAACAGACAUCUGAGAGUGCUAAAACGUGCACUGUUUUUUUUCUAAGCUUGUGCUGGGCACGUUACUUGAAAUACAGAAUUGUUGAGUUCUUCUUUCUCCCCAACCCUCAAGCUGACGUAAAAUGCCCAUGUUUUAAUAGUAAGUGUGAUUAACCAUUAGCAUAAAUUACCAGGGUUACAAUGAAUUCUUAGAACAAAACUUGAUUGUUUCUUCGGAGCUGUGUUCCAGUUAUACACCAAGUGUAAAUAAAAAGCAACUCCUAUAAUGGGCAUCAGAUAAGAAGUCAGACUAAAUGAUGCUGGAGGUCCUUUCCACCUUUCAAAUAUAUAAACAUAUGUAUCAUAUUUAUGAUCUGUGUAUUACAGGGACUGGCCGAUCCUCCGGAGCUGGAGGAAGAGCCAGAUGAUCUUCCAAAGGCAAAGGGAGAGGAGAAAAGCCAGUUAAGUUUCCCAGCCAGGGCAAUGAUUUAUGGAUAGGAGCAUUUUCUAACUUUGACUUCUUCAGCAAGGAGACAAUACGCACACGUCUUGCUGUUCAAAGGACAUCUUGUGCAUAUGAGCAAAUUUGUCCAAAUCGUUUUGGCUCCAGCCACAAUAGUAUGUUUAGUACACUAUUUCCAGAUGUGUUUUGUAUCCCUGUCAGUCCGGCUGCUGCCUCAAGCCAAGAGGGUUAUAUAAGCUGCGAAGCUUAAUUGGAUUAUUUAGCCCAAAUUGUUGGCGGAGAGGCAGCAGGGCCGGGGAACCAUCCGGGCAGCCUGGAGAGGACCUGCACCACCACCAGCUUGCGGGGGAAAGGGAGGCAGCAUGAGCCAUCAAAUAAAUUAGAGAGUUCAUAAAGCAAGACUGGCCUCCCCAUCUCCCUCAAAUGUUUUCUCACGCCUCCCUUCCAUUUGACAGAGGGUGUAUUAUCUGCUGUUUUUUAGAGGUAUGUUUUCCUAUUUUAACAACAUUUUAAAGAAGAAUGCAACAAGCAUUUAGAAGACACAAGCAUUUCCUCUCCACACUAACAAGCAUUUCCUGACCGUGCAGAUCCACAACAUGGAAUAACACAUCCAGCAACUUAGUUUUCCCACAAUAAUAUUUUUUCCCAAACUUUGGCUGUUGCGGCGGCUUAUUUUCCAUUUAAGGGCAUAAUCCUGCUGGCGGGAUAACCCAUCCCAGCGGAUUUUCACAGAUGUAAUUAUUAGGGCAAAGUCCUAAAAAAGAAAAGUGUUGCAACUAUUCUUGGGAAGAAAUCAGGAAAGAGAAGAGAGAGAACCUGAAGAGUUUCCAAAUGCUGUAGCUAUCAAAGCGUGCCAGAAUGAUUUAGUUCCUUUUAUUUUUAAUAAAACUGGAUAGUUAAGGCAGAAGUUAACAAAGCAUCUAAACUGACACCAAACUUUGAGCAGGUCACCUACUCCAUAUUAUGUAAACAAAGGGUACGUGCAUGCUUGAAAGCUACUUAAACCCUUGCCAUGAGGCCCUGGAUGGACUUUGACCGGCUUCACUACAAAGAAUAAUAAUAAUAAUAAAAAAAGCAGCCUGGCAUCCUUCUCUGCCACUGCUGACAACAUUCCCACCUCUCUCCACCAGGCAAAGUGCCACGGAUAAAUUCAACAGAUUAAAACAACCAGAACAGUACAACAGGCAGGGAUGUGCUCAGUUCUGCUGGAAACAGCUACACAAACACUGCAAAUCACAUGCAGCGCUCGGAGAGAGAAGAUGCCUCUCACCCGCCCCAGCUCUGCUCCCCAAAGCAUCAUGCUCACAACAAACCCCUGAAAUCUGGGGCUGCAAAGCUCCAGCGCCUCCAUCCGUGCUGCAAUUCAUUAUGAAUAUUCCCAUGAAUGAGGACCUUCAAUUACCGUGCUGUACAGAGUAAUAGUAAACAGCAGUGGUGACCAAAAAGCUAUUUACAGAAGGGCUCUCUGCUACGAUCCCAUGAUUACUAGUUAUGGAAAAUUUUCAAAAAAAAGGAAUACAAAGAGAGAUUUCCACAGGGCACAGCAAGCCAUACAAUUUGUGCUGUGCUUGGACUUUGUAAAUCAAAAUCCAAGCGAUGUUUACAGCACUCUAGUUAUUCCUAAAACUUCAUUUUUCUUUACUGCUUGCAUUUUAUGCCCUCAGUGAGCUGCAGCCUAAAGCUCUCUGUGUGACUGAUGGAAAGCAGAAAGUCGGCACAGCCUGAUUGGGCAAACCAGCCUCACCCCCCCCGUUAUCUGCAUUAAGAGCUUCAACAAAUUUGUGUAAUACCCAGCAUUAUAGAAAUGGAUUUCCAACCAGAAGAGCAGUUGGCAGGAUUAAACAAGUAGAAAAGCACACGCACAUAAAAAAUCAAAAGGUCUGCACACGAGCUAAUGGAGCAAGCAGAAAAUAACUGGGCAUGCUCCCUGGGCUUGGGGACCGCUUCCUUUACGACAGACAGUAAUGUCUCAUUACGGGAGAAACAAAUACAAUAAAGAUGAAUAUUCCAUCUUCCCCUGGCUACAUUUUAAGUGUUAAGCCAAUACAAAUUCUCAGGUUAUAUUUCACAAAAAUAGCUACUAAAAAAAAAAUGCUGCUGGCAGCGCAGCAAAGCGAAUUUCAUUUGAAAGAUAAAUCCUACAUUCUUCAUAGGCAGAUGUGAAAAUAUAUCAUGCUUUAUCAUAACAGCCCCUCCCAGGAGCAAAAGAAGCCACAGAGUAAAUUUACAACAAAAAAGUCGUUUCUUUUGCCCUUCUUCCCCUAUAUCUCUUAACUCAAUACAGACAAAAUUACUAGCAAACCAGCAGUUACUGUAUCUUAUAAAUAGAUGAUACACACCUUCCCAGCGCCGCGGUGCUCUGCAAAGUCAAUAUGGAAUCAACCCAGCACUUGGGAUCAUCAGUAAAACACUUGGAUGGUUAAACUACACAGAUGCUGCAAUUACUGUCAUCACAAAAUGACCAUUCAGCUCCACUUCUCCACCGAGGCAAGACCGUACCAACCCCUCUGCUAACAAACACCGCCUUGUUGGGGUGUCUGGGCACGAAGGCGCCUGACACCAGCCAGCGGCUGCCAGAAGAUUGCUGGCAAUUUAAGGACCUGCUUAAUGCUGAGCUGGACCAGGACACUGUAGCAUCACUAUUUCUAGCUGAUAAAAGGGCAAGCUCAAUCUACCUCCAUAGUUUCGUGAAAACUCCUACAAACUGACACACGAAAUGGUCUUAAAGCUGCUCUUCGAUGCAGGAUUAUAAACCUGGAUCACCACCACCUUCCCUCCCGCAGCAAGAGCAUCACACUGAAGGGCAAUUAUCCACCUCUUACCAGGAUGGGGCAGGGAACAAAGGAAGAAGCAUCUUUAAUCAAUUAAAUCCCAGCUUGGUCUGAGCUAGCUGGUCCUUGCAAAGAACAUCCCUUGGUCGCUCCCCCGAACAAAAUGAAACUCCCUAUGUGUGCAGACGGUGUUGGAAAUGGGGUGCAGGGCGACAUGCAGCGUACCCAGGAGUGUGCUGGAUGCUUAAACACUAAAACUUGUGACUCCAUUCAGUUCUGCACCUGCAGUUCUCACCUACCCCCACAGCUGGGAAAGGGAUGGAUUCAAGGAUGGGACCGUGGUGACAGGAGCUGGAAUUGUCCCAGGCAGCGGUUUGCAAGAGGGGACUGAGGGUGGCCCCCAGCCUUGUGCCUCUUGCAAUCUCAAGACCACCUUCCUGGAUUCAAAAUCUUUUUAAUUAGGACUGAAUCAUUAGUUACGAUUAGUAACUUUAGCUUUUAAAAAAGUAUGAAGCAGCCAAAGGACUUUUAUCCCACUAACCAGGGGAAAAAAAAAAAAUCUGAAAGAGACCUGGUGUGCUUGGCAAAGCUUUUCUGCUGCCUAAACCAAGGCAGGAAUAAGCUCAGUGAUGCCCUGAGGUGCAACAGAGCUGUGCAAGGGCGGCAGCUCCUCAGAUUUGUAGCUUUGGCCAAACCUUGAUUGCAAAUGCUAGAAAUCCUGCUGGCCCAAAGUCCCUUGGAUUCAAGCACUGGAGGCAAACCUGCACCAAGAACCAGCUGUUUCUAUGGAUCAUAGCUUGGAAAAAAGCUUAGGCUUUUGGGAUUGUCUUUUUUUUUUUUUUUUUAAGAAAGUUGGUUUUCUAUAUAUUCAUUCCAUCUCUAAUCUCCCCUUGCCUUGCAUCUCCAUUUUGAAUUAUUUACCAUCAGGUAUCACAUUCAUUUGCAUACUUUAUGAGGUGCAAAAUAAAUGAUUAGUCAUUACA